GCAUAUCAAUAAGCGGAGGAAAAGAAACCAACAGGGAUUGCCCUUAGUAACGGCGAAGUGAAGCGGCAACAGCUCAAAUUUGAAAUCUGGCGUCUUUGGCGUCCGAGUUGUAAUUUGCAGAGGGGCGCUUUGGCAUUGGCAGCGGUCCAAGUUCCUUGGAACAGGACGUCACAGAGGGUGAGAAUCCCGUACGUGGUCGCUAGCCUUUACCGUGUAAAGCCCCUUCGACGAGUCGAGUUGUUUGGGAAUGCAGCUCUAAAUGGGAGGUAAAUUUCUUCUAAAGCUAAAUACUGGCCAGAGACCGAUAGCGCACAAGUAGAGUGAUCGAAAGAUGAAAAGCACUUUGGAAAGAGAGUUAAAAAGCACGUGAAAUUGUUGAAAGGGAAGCGCUUGCAGCCAGACUUGCCUGUAGUUGCUCAUCCGGGUUUUUACCCGGUGCACUCUUCUAUAGGCAGGCCAGCAUCAGUUUGGGCGGUUGGAUAAAGGUCUCUGUCACGUACCUCCUCUCGGGGAGAACUUAUAGGGGAGACGUAAUGCAACCAGCCUGGACUGAGGUCCGCGCAUCUGCUAGGAUGCUGGCGUAAUGGCUGUAAGCGGCCCGUCUUGAAACACGGACCAAGGAGUCUAACAUCUAUGCGAGUGUUUGGGUGUCAAGCCCGAGCGCGUAAUGAAAGUGAACGGAGGUGGGAACCUUUCGGGGUGCACCAUCGACCGAUCCUGAUGUCUUCGGAUGGAUUUGAGUAAGAGCAUAGCUGUUGGGACCCGAAAGAUGGUGAACUAUGCUUGAAUAGGGUGAAGCCAGAGGAAACUCUGGUGGAGGCUCGCAGCGGUUUCUGACGUGCAAAUCGAUCGUCAAAUUUGGGGCAUAGGGGCGAAAGACUAAUCGAACUAUCUAGUAGCUGGUUUCUGCG
rnacentral:rRNA from 1 species